rnacentral:lncRNA from 12 species
UCUCUUUCUGAGCCUCUCUUUGUGUUUUCCUUUGCAAAAGGAGGAAAAAAAAAAAAAAUCCCUCAGUGCCCUGGGCAAACAAUUUUCUUCUUGCUGCCCCCUGCCAUGAGGCUGACUGCACUGCAGAAAUUCUGCUUUUGUCAAAGCUUGAAUUGAAUUCAUUUCAUGGAUUUUAAAGGUGUUGGAUGUGGUGGGAAUCUCCUGCUCUCCCUGCCUUUUGAGGAAAUCCUCUCCUGUUGCUUUGCCUCCUCUGGAUUUAUCUCUGUGUCAUUGACAGCAUAGCUCUGAACCUCUUGGAACUAUAAAGAACAAGGAAAAAGUGGAAACCCAGCUAUUAAAAAACCUCUUUUCCAGCACUGCCCCGUUUAAAAUCCAUCUGGAACAAUAAAAGGAGUGGCUGUGCCAGCACUGUGAUCCCUGAGCCAUCACCCCAAAGUCCUGCUGGCUGUGGGGCUCUGCCCUCUUCCCCCUCUUUUCCCUGUUCCCCAUUUCCCCUCUUUUCCCUGUUUCCCCUCUUUUCCCUGUUUUCCCCAUUUUUCUCCAUUUCCCCAGUUUCCCCAUUUUCUCUGUUUACUCUGUUUCCCAUUUCCCAUUUUCCCUGUUUUCUCUGUUUCCCCUCUUUUCCCUGUUUUCUCUGUUUCCCUGUUUCCCUUGUUUUCACUGUUUUCUCUCUCUGUUUCCCUUUUUCCAUUUUCUGUUUCCCGUGAUUCCCCUGUUCUCCCUGUUUCCCGUUUUCUCCGCUUCCCCUGUUUUCCUCAUUCUCUAUUUUCCCUCUUUUCCCUCUUUUCCUUCCUUUCCAGUCGUCCCCUUUACUGGCAAAAAGCACUGCAUCCCCACCUCCCCUGGCACACAACGUUCCCAGAAGGUGAAUUUGUGAAUGGUUGGCUGCUCCUGAUGUGCCUCGGGGCCUUCAUUUUCGGGAUUUUUUUUUUUUUCCAGGCCAGCUGAGGGAGGAAGUUUGCAGGAUGUUAUCAGCAUCCUGUUGCUGUGACCUGCUGAGCAAUAGCAGGGAAAUGUCUCCCCUUCACCACACCCCGGUGGCAACCUUUUGGCUCCUGUCUGCUGGCCGUGUUCUGCAAGAUUAAUGUGUUUUUCCACACAUCCAUAGCUAAAAGGCAUGGGGUUUUUUAGUUUUGCUUGGGUUUUUUUUUUUUUUUUUUUUUUUUUUUUUUUUUUUUUUUUAGGAUUUUCCUGAUAUCCAAGCGUUUCUGGCAGUGUUUAUAAAGUGUGUGAAUCACUUUUGGCACGGUGGAGUCACCUCAGCCAAAACAUGGUCAAGGUGGAGAAAGAUUUUGGCUUUUGGGGGAGAGAGUUAUUGGUUUGAGAGCACUGGCAAAAAAAAAAAAAAAAAAAAAAAAAGAGGGGGGGGGGGGGGGGGGGGGGGGGGGGGGGGGGGGGGGGGGGGGGGGGGGGGGGGGGGGGGGGGGAAAAAAAAAAAAAAAAAAAAAAAGAGGCAACUAAAUCCCCCUAAAAAACAAUAAAAGGGAGUAAAACUAAGAAUUCUGUCACCUUCAUGAGGAUAAAUGUUUGAUUUUUAGCUCAUGGAGGGGUUUCCCCCAGGGCAGUCAGUAAUGAACAUCUUGGGUGCUCCAUGUGCUGUGUUUCCACCACCAGCCACGAUUUUGGCCAUUAUCCAUGUAAUUCCAUGGUCCCUGUCACUGGAAUUAGCCAGGCAGGAAAUGCUUUCCAAUGGAAUCCUUCUCAGGAAAUGCUGCCUUCGUUUCACCAAUUUAUAUCAAGAGGAGAAUGCAAAAAAUAUAAAAGAAACCGAGUUGAGC